CAAAAACAUCUCUUAUAGCUGUAGUUAUAAGUAAGGCCUGCUCCAUGCGGAGCGUAAAUAGCCGCAGCUAGACUGUGCUAAGGUAGCAUAAUCAUUUGCCUCCUGAUUAGGGGCUAGAAUGAAAGGCCCUCCGAUCCUUUACCUGUCUCCUCUCUCUUUCAUAAAAUUAAAAUAAGAGUAAAAAUACUCUCAUUCAUUAAAAAGACGAUAAGACCCUGUUGAACUUAACCGCUGUUUAGCUGGGGCAGCUAAUUAAUAAUUAUUUUAGUGAAAUUUAGCACAUAAAAGACCCGAGUUCCUCGAGUAAAUGAACAAGUUACCAUAGGGAUAACAGCGUAAUAUAGCAUAAAAGUUCUUAUUAGAUGCUAUGUUUGCGACCUCGAUGUUGAAUUAUUUUUACUUAUCUGGGCAAAAUAAGAUUUAGUGAGUCUGUUCGACUUUUAAAAAAAUACAUGAUCUGAGUUCAAACCGGAGA
rnacentral:rRNA from 1 species